rnacentral:rRNA from 1 species
AUUGAACGCUGGCGGCAUGCCUUACACAUGCAAGUCGAACGGUAACGCGGGGCAACCUGGCGACGAGUGGCGAACGGGUGAGUAAAGCAUCGGAACGUGCCCAGUAGUGGGGGAUAGCCCGGCGAAAGCCGGAUUAAUACCGCAUACGACCUACGGGUGAAAGGGGGGGAUCGCAAGACCUCUCGCUAUUGGAGCGGCCGAUGUCAGAUUAGGUAGUUGGUGGGGUAAAGGCCUACCAAGCCGACGAUCUGUAGCUGGUCUGAGAGGACGACCAGCCACACUGGGACUGAGACACGGCCCAGACUCCUACGGGAGGCAGCAGUGGGGAAUUUUGGACAAUGGGCGCAAGCCUGAUCCAGCCAUGCCGCGUGCGGGAAGAAGGCCUUCGGGUUGUAAACUGCUUUGUACGGUACGAAACGGUACGUGGAUUAAUACCCUAGGGCGUAAUGACGGUACCGUAACGGAAUAAGA